UACGAAGGGGCUAGCGUUGUUCGGAUUUACUGGGCGUAAAGCGCACGUAGGCGGAUCUUUAAGUCAGGGGUGAAAGUCCCGAGGCUCAACCUCGGAACUGCCUUUGAUACUGGGGAUCUCGAGUCCGGGAGAGGUGAGUGGAACUGCGAGUGUAGAGGUGAAAUUCGUAGAUAUUCGCAAGAACACCAGUGGCGAAGGCGGCUCACUGGCCCGGUACUGACGCUGAGGUGCGAAAGCGUGGGGAGCAAACAGG
rnacentral:rRNA from 1 species